UACGUAGGGUGCAAGCGUUGUCCGGAAUUAUUGGGCGUAAAGAGCUCGUAGGCGGUCUGUCGCGUCUGCUGUGAAAACUCGGGGCUUAACCCCGGGCCUGCAGUGGGUACGGGCAGACUAGAGUGCGGUAGGGGAGACUGGAAUUCCUGGUGUAGCGGUGAAAUGCGCAGAUAUCAAGGGAGGAACACCGGUGGGCCGAAGGCGGGUCUCUGGGCCGUAACUGAC
rnacentral:rRNA from 1 species